rnacentral:rRNA from 1 species
AAAAAACUCUCAGCAACGGAUAUCUUGGCUCUUGCAACGAUGAAGAACGCAGCGAAAUGCGAUACGUAGUGUGAAUUGCAGAAUUCCGCGAAUCAUCGAGUCUUUGAACGCAAGUUGCGCCCGAGGCUUGACCAAGGGCAUUUCUGCCAGAGCGUCAC